GAUGAACGCUGGCGGCGUGCCUAACACAUGCAAGUCGAACGGACUCAUAAUGAAACCUAGUGAUUUAUGAGUUAGUGGCGGACGGGUGAGUAACGCGUGGAUAACCUGCCGUAUACUGGGGGAUAACACUUAGAAAUAGGUGCUAAUACCGCAUAAGCGCACAGUCUCGCAUGAGACGGUGUGAAAAACUCCGGUGGUAUACGAUGGAUCCGCGUCUGAUUAGCUUGUUGGCGGGGUAACAGCCCACCAAGGCGACGAUCAGUAGCCGGCCUGAGAGGGUGAACGGCCACAUUGGGACUGAGACACGGCCCAAACUCCUACGGGAGGCAGCAGUGGGGAAUAUUGCACAAUGGGGGAAACCCUGAUGCAGCGACGCCGCGUGAGUGAAGAAGUACCUCGGUACGUAAAGCUCUAUCAGCAGGGAAGAAAAUGACGG
rnacentral:rRNA from 1 species